GCGUCGGAGGUGCUGCGGCAGCACGUCCCGCAUCCGCGGGGAGGCCCAGGUUCGAGUCCUGGUCGACGCUCCA
rnacentral:tRNA from 1 species